UGUUAUCCGUCUCUCUCUCUUUCCCUCACCUAACGGCCGUCACCACCCUCCCCUCCCCCGAUCACACAUUUCGUCUCCAAAACCCCAUCAUUCCCAUCGUUCGAUCCCUCUCCCUCCACCAAUCGGCCUCCAAUUCGAUCAUCCUUGGAUCAAUCGAGACUUUGGAUCUCAAUUCUUGGCUUUCCCCAAUUCAAUUCCCUCUUUAUAUCGCUUAAAAAUCCACCACGGAUUCGUAACAAUCCAAUUGGGAUCAAAACCAUGCCAUUCUCCCAACCUUGCCGCGCCCCCGCCGCCGACGCCGGCGGCCGCCACGUCAAUUACCGCCGAUCCGCCUUCAACCGGCCCACGGCCGCCCCCGAAUACGAAGCCUCCGCCGCCCCCAACCUCAACCACUACUCUCACAGGGAUUUCUCCUAUAGAAACCACCAAGAUUACGCCUUUAGCGACGCCGCUGCGUACCCUGGCGCGCCGCCUCCUCUGAAGAGGAGGAGGUCCGACGUCUCUACGUGGGACGAGCACGCCGGGAACCGGUGCCGGAAUGGGGUCGCCGGUGGCAAUGGCCCGUCGACGAGUCAUGGUUCUUUUAUGCAGCCGAGGAGGCGUGAUGAUGGUGCUGUUCUGGCGCGCAGGCAGGAGGUGCCAGCGAAAGUGGAGGAGAGUGAGGCAUUCAUGUCUAGGGAUGAGAUCGAGAGGUGCUCGCCAUCAAGAAAGGAUGGAAUAAAUCCUGGUCUUGAAACGCACCUGCGGUACUCGUACUGCUCGUAUCUUCAGAGCCUUGGGAUGAGGCUAGAGCUGCCUCAGACUACAAUUGGAACUGCAAUGGUGCUCUGCCACCGCUUCUUUCUUCGUAGAUCUCAUGCUUGUCAUGAUAGAUUUUUGAUUGCUACGGCAGCUCUGUUCCUAGCUUCAAAGUCUGAGGACACACCAUGUCUUUUGAACAGUGUGCUACGGGCAUCCUGUGAAAUUUCUCAGAAACAGGAGUUUGCUUUCUUUCCAUAUUUGCCACACAGUCAGGACUGGUUUGAACAAUACCGUGAGAAAGUUAUUGAUGCUGAACAAAUGAUACUGACAACUCUGGAUUUCGAACUUGACGUGCAGCACCCUUAUGCUCCACUUUCAUCUGUUCUUAACAAACUAGGACUUUCACAAACUGUUCUUCUUGAUGUGGCCUGGAACUUGGUCAGUGAAGGGGUCUUUCUUCACGAGAAUUACGUGCUGACCUGUGUGAUAUUCUUAGCUGGAGGAUUCAUAUGCUGUUCAUGGAAAGCCUUUUUUUUAAUAUAUGUAGAAAUAUGUAUGUAUGUAUGUAUGUAUAAUAUAGUUACACAUCUGAAGUUAAGCAGCAGUGCAAUUUGGACAUGAUUGCAUGAAAAAUCUCAAACUAAUUCACCAGUUGGUUAUUAUUAAUCACUGAUAGACCUCCAAACCUAUUCCACUUGUAGUGCAGUUGAGUUCAUUCUUUCUUCUUAAUUCGAGUUAUCCAAUGCUUGAGGGCCAUUUCUUGUUGAGUUUCACUUUCUAGCUCACGAAAUUUCCCUUCCAUUUUUCUGCUUGAGUUUAAGUAAUCCUUUUUGCCUUGCACAUGCCAUAUUCCAAUUUUAUGUUCUUGUCCCAUAUUUCCUUUAUUUUUUUUUGCUAGACAUCUUUCCUAUUUUUUCUCCUUUAAUUUUUGCAAAUGUUUGAUCAUCUCUGCAAAUUAAGUUUUUAUAUUUAGCUUAUUUGGUAGUUCCGUGUAUUACCAUGCAAAGCCAACCAAUGACUUUGCCCCCUCUUUUCAGAGUCUGGGCGGAAUUCUUACAUGAAUGGCAAAAUAUCAAAAUGACUUUUUCUCUUGAUUAUGCUUCCUUUUAGUCACGUAAUCAAGAACAAAGUUUCUCUUUAUUUGCCCUUGUGCAUGCAGGCUAUGGAUGAAAAUGUUUGGGCAAAAAAAUCUCUAUCAUAAGACGAAUAUAUUAACUAAACUCAAAGAGAAGUGAAAGAUAAACACCAAGAAGCAUCUAUCAUGAAUUAUUUGAAUAUGUGAUUCCAGAUUGAGUACUGCUACCUUCUUGACCUCCCAAUGUUAUAAUAAAAAUGUAGCUGAAUAAAUUUAAUCUUUUGAUCCAAUUAAGAGGAUUCUUGUAGGUGACAAGUUGCUGGCUGUCCUACUGAUAAAACAUUUUUUUUUUUUUUGAAAGAAUUUUUUCUAAAUUUGUAACUUGCAUGUGUAUACAACACAGCGAAAGAUGUGUACUAUGUUACACGAAAAACUCUUGCAACAAAACAUAUUAUGUUAUUAAAUUGUAAAAGAUAUUAUGUCACCAUGUUGUUUCUGUUUAAUCAAAAGAUUUCAUUGGUCAAUCUGUAUAGCAUGUAUCUCCGGCUGGUAUAUAAAAUAUGAACUUGUGGGCAAGUUAUAAAUCACUCAGUCUUCUAUUGAUCAUAUGGUGCUUUUUGUAUCAUUUGAAAUUGCACCUUGCCUCAACCGAUUAGUUGAAGCCUACAUGCUUGCCUCCAAUUUCCUGUACACAACAAAGGAAUGGAAACGUACGUCUCUUUAUCAUUUUCACAAAGCACGUGGUACCCUUUCACAUCUCAACCUACACAUCAUCUUUGAACAUGUAUUAGCAAUUCAGAAAAGUACAUACAUUGUCAGUCUUGGCAUGGUGCAGGAAAUCUUAUUAGUCAUUUAUGAGAUAGCAUUGAUAAGAAGCAGCUAGAAGCAUCCAUGGGAGAAGCUUUUAUUCUCUCUUCUGUGUCACAAAUCUCUCCUUCAUUUUCUGAUUGAAUAAUGUUUUUGGAUUUUGGGAAAGGCAAAUGCCCCUUGAGCAUUCUUGGGUCCAGGACUUGAUGCAUAGUUCCCAAAGGCACAUAAUGCUGCUAUAGCUUAGCACUAUGACAGCAUUUCUUCUACAGAAGAUUCUCAGAUAAUAUAUCACCUGGAUGGCUGCUUUGUAGUUGGUAAGAAGACAUUGACAUAAUAGCUUGUUUAGCUUGCUAUAUGAAAUCCCUCUGCUGUUCUGCUCUUUUAAUCUUUGUUACAUGUGAACUAAUGUGGUUUGUGUUGAUGUGGAAAUGACUCGACUUUCACUUAGCAAAGAAAAGACUUUAAGCUUUUUACACAUAGCAUUGUUUCGGAAGGAUGGUUUGCCUAUUAGUUUAUUAUCCUCAAUUUUUUAUUGAUGCUUGCCUUUAAAAUCUGAUAUCUCUCUUUCAAUGUAUUUAUAUUAUUGCAGACUUCGGAGUUCACUUUGGCUUCAAUUUAAGCCCCAUCAUAUUGCUGCCGGGGCUGCAUUCCUUGCUGCCAAAUUUAUAAAUUAUGAUCUUGCUUUUCAUCAGAGUUUCUGGCGUGAAUUCCAGACAACACCAUCUAUUCUUCAAGAUGUUGCACAACAGUUGAUGGAACUCUUCUAAAAUGACACAUCAGUAUACUUACAUCAUGUACUAAAGGUUUGUUGUACACCGUGUUUAUAUUGGAUAAAACAAUUUACAUACGAGGAUAUCAGGGUUUUAUCAGGUGAAUGAGUCAGCUAAAUGUCUUUAUAAUGGUUGCAAUAAUUUUUAAUUAUUGGCAGCAUUUCUAUUCUUAAGCUACUUCCGGUACUAAUUGGCCUGUCAGCCACCUUCAACAUAUUUGUUGAAGAUUUAUAAUUUUACUAAAAAUUGAUCUAUGAUUGUCGCAUAGCGACUUCUUGGUUC